UGGGGAAUUUUGCGCAAUGGGCGAAAGCCUGACGCAGCAACGCCGCGUGGGUGAUGAAGGUCUUCGGAUUGUAAAACCCUGUCGUCGGGGACGAAGGUAUGGGGGUGAACAGCCCUUGUGCUUGACGGUACCCGGAGAGGAAGCCCCGGCUAACUCUGUGCCAGCAGCCGCGGUAAUACAGAGGGGGCAAGCGUUAUUCGGAAUUAUUGGGCGUAAAGGGCGCGUAGGCGGUGAUUUAAGUUGGAUGUGUAAUCCCCGGGCUCAACCUGGGAACUGCAUCCAAGACUGGAUCGCUGGAGUGCUGGAGAGGGUGGUGGAAUUCCUCGUGUAGCGGUGAAAUGCGUAGAGAUGAGGAGGAACACCAGUGGCGAAGGCGGCCACCUGGACAGUAACUGACGCU
rnacentral:rRNA from 1 species